rnacentral:tmRNA from 1 species
GGCGAAUGUAAAGACUGACUAAGCAUGUAGUACUGAGGAUGUAGGAAUUUCGGACGCGGGUUCAACUCCCGCCAGCUCCACCA